GGAAAUUCCACACAGACGGUUUUGCACUCUUAUGUGGUAAGUCAUCAGGUCUGGUUCUCCUCUGACUUGUUUUUGUGAUUUUGUUCGGGGACUAAAUUGGAGUGUUGUUGCAGUACACAGAGAACAGGUGGACUAGUAGGGGAGGCUGACGGGAUGUUUUUGUCGACCACUCAUUGCAGAGAACAGGUGGACUAGUAGGGGAGGCUGACGGGAUGUUUUUGUCGACCACUCAUUGCAGGUUGUAAAAUAAACCACUUACAAUCCAA